GCCACGAAGAUGAAGGCCAGCACCGCUAUUCCGGCGAUGAUCAGGAAGGUCAGGCCGGUCCCAACCAACCCGACGAUCGAGAGGAAUGUUUGUGCCACAAUCAGGUUAGAUACCCAGUUGACAGUGGCUGACAUGCCACCACACAUUCCACGGUAUGCCUCGGGGUAGAUCUCGGAGUUCACUGCCCAUGGAACUGGCCCCAUGCCUGGGGAGAAGAAGGCGAUGUAUAGAGCGAGUCCCGCCACCGCGAACCAUCCCAGUGCACCUUGGCAGGCACCAUUGAGUGCAUUCGAACAGAUAUCUGAUGAUGACUGCAGUAUGAAGGCCAUUGCUAGGAUGGCGAGGGAGACCACCACACCAGCCAAGCUUGUAAGGGCCAGGCGACGCCGGCCACAGCGGUCAAUCAGGUAGAUUCCAACAAUGGUCCCAGCGGCAUUCAUACCAGCGACUAUGAGGGAAAGGAGCAAUGCCAACUUGUUGGAGGUAAACCCAGCCAUCUGGACAAUUGUUGGGCUGUAGUACAUGACAGUGUUGAUGCCAGUAAAUUGCUGGAACGCCUGCACAGAUUAACAUGUCUUAGGGGAGAAAACUCCAUGUAGUUACCAACAGGAUGCAUAAAUCAAAUGCUCCUUGAGGAAUGCACUUAGCACAGUGAACCGUUUAUCUCCCUGGUGACUAAGAGUCUAAGGGACUAAGACAUACCUAAAAUGAGUGGGCUAGAAUGCUAGAUGAUGAACAUACCUGAAGACCAGCUCCAGCAAAAAAUGCUAGCCUUAGUUCCUUUGACUUGAAAAUGUCCAAAUAGCUCCCAGUACCAUCAGACUGAAAUUCAUGCAUUGAAGAAGAAGCAAGAAGCUCUACCUCUUCCUCUAGACGGUCAGAGUCAUAAAUCUUCUCUAGGACAGAAAUAGCUUUUGCUUUCUCAUCCUGUAAAGAAAAGUUAAUGUAACAACAAAAUGCAGAUAAAAGGAGAUAAUACAUGACUGAAUAAAAGCUUAAAAUAUAACCUUCCAGAAAAGCCAACGGGGAGAUUCUGGCAAAAAAAGCAUCAGAACAAACUGUAGAAUUGCAGGCACAGCAGCAACUCCGAGCAUCCAGCGCCAUGUUCCAGGAACCUAUGACAUGUAGCAUGCAUAU
rnacentral:sRNA from 1 species